rnacentral:misc_RNA from 1 species
UGCGCGCGGUCUCAUUGAAAACAACAACGGUGGUCAAAUUGUGUUUCUUAUUUUGCACUUCCGUGCUUGUUCCUGCUGCUCACAUUGGUGUAUGGCAAUUUCUUUUGUGCUCUUCUCUCCGCUUCUUUCACUCUACUUCGUCUUUGCCUUCCUUAUGCAAUACCGUUAGCAAAGCAGGGAAAGAGGUUGCUUCAGGGAAAGGAAGUAACAAACUAUAUAGCCAAGAGCCAGAAGCCAACGAAAAACACUUGCUUCAGCUUUGAGGAUGCUAGCGCAUCCUAUCCUCGCCUCUGAGGAUGACGAGGAGUAUGUAAUUCGCGUUAUCUUCUGCCUGCCGGCCCUCCUCGAUGCAUACUUCGACGCGGUCGAGACGAUUUGUGCGGAGCCGUCCCCGCCGCCGGAGUCCAAAACUCGUGCAGAUAUUCUGCACCUCACGAUUCAGCAGCGCCUGCUUAUUCUAGGGCGCGUGCCUCCCAGCACAUUUCGACAUUUCGACGAAGUCUCCGGCACGGAGACGGAGGACAAGGAGCUUCCUAAACUCAUUGAUCAGCUGCGCCAUGUCUUCCUCGAGAACAAGGUGGACAUUGGCCCACAAGCACUCUUGUGGCGCAAGCGGUCCCUGUCGCUGGCGAGGGAGUGCUCCGAUCAUAUGAAUCGCUGCCGCGUUCGCUUUUCCUUGGGUAGGAAGGUGCGGCGCGAGCUGGUCGCGUUCGGUUCGGCGCCGUAUGCAUUCAGCAUGAUUUCCUUCGGUCUCAUAGUCAUCUUUUCUUGCAGUGCUCUAGUCAUCAUACCAGCCUUGCAGGCUCCACUGGCGAGUGGGCUGGCCGUCGGCUGUGUCGCUUGCGUGCUUCUUGUCCUCUCUGCAUCCCUCGUCUCCUUCAACUUCUUUACUGCGGUGCGCUCCUUGCACAUAUUGUACUCGCAGCUAUUCCACGAGUACUUGAUCGCCGGCGGGUCACCGUCUGACAUCCUGCUAAAUUCUUUGCAAGAGCCGUCCUUCAAACCACGGGGAAAGGACGGGCCGCGGGACAGUGGGACGAAGCGGCUAGAGAUGGGUCGUGAGACCAAGACAGGCUACUACACCAUCCCCUACGGCGGUGAGAACAGAAUUGGGUACAUCGAGGGCAAGCAGCUGAAUGCACAGGUGGUGAUGAUUGCCUUCGAUAGCAACUACCAGAUUACAUGGUGGAAUAACGCGGCGGAGGUGAUGACGGGGUUCUUGCAAGACGGGUGCAUCGGCAAGCCGCUGAACGAGCUUGUCCAGUGCUUCAACGACGAGGAUGUGUGCUCCCUUAUCAAGAAUACGCGUCGCGGAAAUCUACUUAAGAUCAAGCUCCGCUCCCUCACCGCAGCCCCAACAACGCUCAGCACCGUGGUGGCACCAAUUCUGAACUGCGACAGCAAGCCCAUCGGUAAUGUGCUGAUCUGCGCGAACUCGCUCGAUAACUUAAGAGAGUACCGCAUUUAUAUGCACAACUAUCAAGUGAGCGAGACAAUCGGUGCCUUGUCCUUCUUAUCGGAGCGCUCCUCUCUGUCGCACGAAGAUUCCACUCUCGUCAACUCCCUGAGCCGCUUUGUCAAGAACGGUCUGGCAAACCACGUGGAAACCCUCGCGCGGGAGAUGGAGUCUGACUGGGACUGGACAAGCGUGGAGCAGCUGCUGGGUCGCGCCUUGGGUCAGCGGAUCGGGCUGCAUGAGGUGAUUGUGGACCCGCUGUUUCCGCCCACGCUAUGCGUCAACCCAGACGUUGCCAAGACAUUUGGGACCGUCGUCGGGCUAGCCAAUGGCCGCUGCACGGUGACUCUACAGAUGCUGAACUUGACAGGCAACGUCUUUUCGCUGGCCGUGACCGUGCUGCUGGGCCCCAAGUGCCGGCCGUGGGAUCAGGCGCAGCUGGAGCAACAGCUGGAGCAGCUGUUGCGCAGCACGGCAGGAAGCGUGUACCUUCUCGAGGAGCGCGUGGUGCUGCAUUUUCCAUGUCAAGUGGCACCGAUCUUGGACGACGGCGACGAGGGCGAUGCCAACCCUAACUCCGACCAGGCGCUGCAGAUCACGCAGGCCAGGGCCAUCAUCAACUGCACGGUGAACGUGGUGACCGCCAUCACGAACAUGGUGGAUCAACACAACUUGUCCCUUAUCUUGCUCAAGACAAUGUUUGUCUCUCUCGCCAGCGUGCGCGAGCGCAGCGACCUCGAGAAACGCUUGUCUGCCCGCCCGUGUGAUGUAGAUGUGAUUAUUUGCGACAGCGAGUGGCUCAGCUCGUCCCGUGAUCUUCUUAUGAACAACGACCACGGGGCCAUGGUGAUUCCGCUGAUCGAUGCCCAGAUGCCAGUUCCAGCCGAUGUGCAGCACGCGAUCUGCAUGCCGCUUGUGCGACGGGACGUGCAGCAGCUCAUCUUGGAGGUUGGCAAGGCGGUGUCCAUGAAGAAGAACGCCAUCUCCGCCCGCGAAGAGCGUGAGCGAAUUCUCACGCUGCGGCAGGACUCACCAUGGACGCGCGGCAAGCUGCUCGGGCGCGGGUCGUACGGUGCUGUGUACGAGGCGACUAGCGAUCUCACCGGCGGCAAGAUGGCGGUGAAGAUGUUCUACUUCUCGCAGAACGUCGAGUCGUCGAUUAGCACGUUGCUGAACGAGGUCUCCAUCAUGUGCAGUCUGAACCACCCCAACAUUGUGCACUACUUCCACUGCGAGCGCAAGGACAACAACGUAAGCUUGUUCAUGGAGCUGUGCGAGGCCUCUCUAACAGACAUCAUUGUAGGACGGCGGCAAAAGCCGGCCCAUCUGUCCGUCGUGCAGAUCAUUCGGCAAGUCCUGACCGCCAUUGCUUACUUGCACAGUCGAGGCAUCGCUCAUCGAGAUGUCAAACCCCAGAACAUUCUUCUAAAGGGUGAGACGGUGAAGUUGACCGAUUUUGGUACUGCAAUUCAGGGCAAUGCGGGCAAAGAGGUGCGAGGCACAUUCCGGUACAUGGCCCCGGAGGUCUACAAGGGUGACCCCCACUCACUGAGCUGCGACAUAUGGUCUAUCGGCUGCCUUGUGUGCGAGCUGUUUGCGUGCCCGACCCCCUUCAUGGAGAACUCAUCGCUGCUGGGUGAGAUGACAUCCACGGUGGACUACUUGACGAGGGUGCCGCAAAACCCGGUCUUGAUCGAUUUUUUGGAGAAGUGCUUCCAACUUGACCCUGAGCGGCGCUGGGGAGCUGGCGAUCUUCUCAUGCAUCCUCUGCUUUCCGGCAAUGCCGCAGCAUCAUCUCUGGUGAAGCUGGAGACAAUUUUUGACGCGAAACAUAGCAAUCCUCUCGACCCGUCAAGCCAAUCCGUUUUUUCCUUACGAUCUGCGUAAGAGAGCUAGCGGAGCAACAGAGGGGCAGGAAGACCAGGCGCCGCGUGCUCAAUGACCGCCUCUCUAGCACGCGUAUGCACUGUCUCCGCAGUCGAAAGCACAGCAGCUGAUGGGGGUGUUCUUUCAUUAUUCGUGGUUUUCCCUCUUUUUUGUCAUUGUUGUCUGCCAGACACAAAAGCGCCCUCGAUGAGGAUGGAAUGGAUCAGAUGUCGGUGAUGGUGGUACGCGAGCACCUGCACAAGAGUUCUAUUUCUCCUUUUUUUUUGUUUGCGUGCGGAGAUGCUCAUACUGCGCCGAGGACAGGAGAGGGAAAAGGUGAGGGGGGGGGCUUGUCGGGACAAGGUUCUGUGAGAGCGCCAGGAAAGGAAGGCGGUGCGCAGUGUUCCUCUUCCUUGUCCCCUGUGUAUAGGUGUUGGUGUGCAUAUGUCAGUAGGUUUUUGUUCGUCUUUGCUCUCCCCAUUUCUACCUCCUCCUUUCGCCUUCGUUCUCCUUUUCGCUGUGUGUGUGUGUGUGUGUGUGUUUGUGUCCAGGCCCUUCUAGCGCCGAUCAAGC